CCUACGGGAGGCAGCAGUGAGGAAUAUUGGUCAAUGGGCUUACGCCUGAACCAGCCAAGUCGCGUGAGGGAAGACUGCCCUAUGGGUUGUAAACCUCUUUUGUCAGGGAGCAACGCCGGCUACGUGUAGCCGGACUGAGACUACCUGAAGAAACAGCAUCGGCUAACUCCGUGCCAGCAGCCGCGGUAAUACGGAGGAUGCGAGCGUUCUCCGGAUUUAUUGGGUUUAAAGGGUGCGUAGGCGGAAUGCCAAGUCAGCGGUAAAAUCCCGGGGCUCAACCUCGCUCCGCCGUUGAACCUGGCGUUCUUGAGUGGGCGAGAAGUAUGCGGAAUGCGUGGUGUAGCGGUGAAAUGCAUAGAUAUCACGCAGAACUCCGAUUGCGAAGGCAGCAUACCGGCGCCCAACUGACGCUGAAGCACGAAAGCGUGGGUAGCGAACAGGAUUAGAUACCCCAGUAGUC
rnacentral:rRNA from 1 species